rfam:Nitrospirae bacterium RBG_19FT_COMBO_58_9 rbg_19ft_combo_scaffold_14523, whole genome shotgun sequence.
GGGGCCGUCGUUCAGCUGGUUAGGACGCCAGAUUGUCAAUCUGGAGGUCGCGGGUUCAAAUCCCGUCGGCCCCG